UAGUUCAGAUGGUAAAGCAUCUGCUUGCAAUGCAGAAGACCUGGGUUCAAUCCCUG
rnacentral:tRNA from 1 species